rnacentral:rRNA from 1 species
UACGGAGGGGGUUAGCGUUGUUCGGAAUGACUGGGCGUAAAGCGCGCGUAGGCGGGCAUUUAAGUCGGGGGUGAAAUCCCGGGGCUCAACCCCGGAAUGGCCUUCGAUACUGGGUGCCUAGAGUUCGAGAGAGGUGAGUGGAAUUCCGAGUGUAGAGGUGAAAUUCGUAGAUAUUCGGAGGAACACCAGUGGCGAAGGCGGCUCACUGGCUCGACACUGACGCUGAGGUGCGAAAGCGUGGGGAGCAAAC